UUUUUUUUCUUGUAAGGAAAAAUAGGCUCCCCGCCUUGCACUUAAUCAUUAGCUAACAUGGUUAACCUUUUAAGAACAAGGCGUGAGUUUUCAUCCACCUUGUCCUAUUUGAAAUUUUUCAAUUUUUAUGUUUCUUCGAAAUCUUGGAUGAAAAAAGUUACCUUUAGGCUCUGAACUCUGAAGAAAUGUAUACCUUUAGAACUAAAUCAUUUAUCUGUUGAGAGAGGAACACAAAGCAAUCAUCUUAUUGAACUUCGCAAAUAAAGAAAUACAAGGUAGAGUAAACUAGUCUGAAGCAAGAAGCAGAUAAAUGACAGGUUAAUAUGAAAGAAAAAUACUUUAAAAUUCUGGUGAAAAGCAGGUCUAUCUUGUGAUAUGCGCGAUAAAAGAAUCCAGCUCCAUUCGAGAAGCACCCCCUUUCUCUAUGGAUCGCCGUACAGCUUCUCCCAUUUCUUCAGCUCUUCUCCUAAUUGCAUCACCUUCUUCUGAUGCCAUCAACUUCCUCACAACAUUCGCAAUAGUGUAUGCACUUACUAGCUCCUUGCGUUUCUCCCACUCCCUCACAGUCAGGCCUACUUUCAACAUUUCCGUCAUCAAGAAACCAUUUCUCGGUUGGUCAGAGUGCAUAGGCCAAGCAGCUAUAGGCACUCCCAUAGUAAUACUCUCCAUGCAAGAGUUCCAGCCACAAUGACUCAUGAAACCACCCGUGGAAGAAUGAGCCAAGAUUUCUGGUUGUGGUGCCCAUUCUCUUACCACUAAGCCUACUUCUUUUACCCUUUCCUCAAACCCUUCUGGAAGCUCCACUCUUCUAGCUCCCCCGGUAAAGAUAUCUCCUCUAUCGGCAUCUCUCAGAACCCAUAUGAACUUCUGUUUGCUUUGUUCUAAUCCCAUAGCCAGCUCCUUGAUUUCUCCAUCAGAAAAUGUUGUUGUUGUUCCGAAAGAUAUAUAAAGAACUGAUUUUGGAAGUUGUUUGUUCAGCCACUCCAAACACAUAUUGUUCCUAUUUGAGAUAUGAUCUCGGUUGGUAGGAAUAAUAGGUCCAAUUGCCCAUUGUUUCUUGUUCUGAUAAAUUUCUGCCAGCAAAUCAAGAUACUUGCCUUCAAUUACUUUACUUGUAUUAUGGAUAUCACCUGAUCUAAAUUGUCAAUUUUUACAUAUUUCCAAAUAAUUUUCUUACGUUAUAUAUUUGUCAUUACAUAUGCUUACUUUCUACUCUUUCCGUUCUAUUUUAUUUGACCUCUUUUAACUUGGCACACCAUUAAAAAAACUUUAAUUUGAAGUGUAUUUUAAUUUACAAAAUUAAUCCUAUUAAUGAUGUCUUGAAAUUCUAAAUCUAACUAUUAUUAUUUUCUUUAAUUUUUUAAUACCGAGGAUAAAUUGAGAGAGAAACUCUUGAUUUGCAAAAAUAAACUACUGAUUUGAAAAAAACAUAUUUGAAAAGAAGGCCAAGGAAGAGAGUAUCAACUGUGUUUGGUUUUGUUUUCCUCGCGGAUGUGGUGAGGGGCUGAGGUGGAGGGGUGGUCCGGGGAGUCUGGGUAGAGACAAAGCUAUUAAAAUAUUUAAAUAAUGAUAUAUGUCAAGUGUAAGCAAUUAUAUAUUGAAUUCAAAAUUUUAUUGUUUUGUAAAUUAAAAUAAUUCAAAAAGAAGUAUCUGAAGUGAAAGCAUAAUGGCAAUUAACUCGUUAUUGUUUCGUUUGUAAGUUGAGUGACUAUACUGUUAAAAAAAAAAGUUACUUUAGCAGGAUAUUUCUAUAAGUUAAGUGACAAUUUGAAGAAUUAACUCAUAUUCCCUCCGUCCAUUAUUACUUCUCCACUUUUCUAUUGUGAGAUGUUCAAUAAUAUUUGGUCAGUUUAUAAAAUCAAUGGAUAAUUUGCUCAUUUCUACCCAUUUUACCUUUAGCAUUAAAUACGAUUCAUUAUCUAAUACAUUUUUCAAAGCAUUAAAUUUAUUAUAUUCAAAGGGUAUUAUGAUAAAAUUACUCUAUCAUUUCCUGUUUCUAAAUCCCCGUGUCAAUAGAAAAGUAGAUAAAUAAAGAUGGAUCGAGUGAGUAAAACUUAGCAAAUGCAGAAUUAUUUGUGCAAAUUUAUAUAGAUAUCUCUACUGAUUUCCAACGUAAAUGUGCUUAGAAAAACUGUACCUAUAAACUUCAAGGUUUUUCUUGUACUAUUCAAUGGCAACAUCAGUAAUACAAAUUUUAUGAGUUGAUUGUCAAGUCAAAGGGUAAGGCGUGAGACUUUUUUUUCUUGUAAGGAAAAAUAGGCUCCCCGCCUUGCACUUAAUCAUUAGCUAACAUGGUUAACCUUUUAAGAACAAGGCGUGAGUUUUCAUCCACCUUGUCCUAUUUGAAAUUUUUCAAUUUUUAUGUUUCUUCGAAAUCUUGGAUGAAAAAAGUUACCUUUAGGCUCUGAACUCUGAAGAAAUGUAUACCUUUAGAACUAAAUCAUUUAUCUGUUGAGAGAGGAACACAAAGCAAUCAUCUUAUUGAACUUCGCAAAUAAAGAAAUACAAGGUAGAGUAAACUAGUCUGAAGCAAGAAGCAGAUAAAUGACAGGUUAAUAUGAAAGAAAAAUACUUUAAAAUUCUGGUGAAAAGCAGGUCUAUCUUGUGAUAUGCGCGAUAAAAGAAUCCAGCUCCAUUCGAGAAGCACCCCCUUUCUCUAUGGAUCGCCGUACAGCUUCUCCCAUUUCUUCAGCUCUUCUCCUAAUUGCAUCACCUUCUUCUGAUGCCAUCAACUUCCUCACAACAUUCUCAAUAGUGGAUGCACUUACUA
rnacentral:lncRNA from 1 species